rnacentral:rRNA from 1 species
UACGUAGGUCCCGAGCGUUAUCCGGAUUUAUUGGGCGUAAAGCGAGCGCAGGCGGUUAGAUAAGUCUGAAGUUAAAGGCUGUGGCUUAACCAUAGUACGCUUUGGAAACUGUUUAACUUGAGUGCAGAAGGGGAGAGUGGAAUUCCAUGUGUAGCGGUGAAAUGCGUAGAUAUAUGGAGGAACACCGGUGGCGAAAGCGGCUCUCUGGUCUGUAACUGACGCUGAGGCUCGAAAGCGUGGGGAGCAAACAGGAUUAGAUA